rnacentral:lncRNA from 1 species
GCUCUUAUCAGGACAGCUCUUCUGUUCGGGUUCAGAGGACAAGUUUUGACAGCCAGGCUUCUCAACACCCCCCACCCCCUCUCCGCUCUGUCGCUCCUGACAGAGGGAAGGAAAGGCAGCGUGAAGAGGUGGUGACUUCAUCCCUUCUACCCAACCCUCUUCUCUCUCCUCCCUCCUUUUCCAAGCUUGCUUCCCCCCUCCAAUAUUUGUUGCACAGCACAGCGAGGCAGCAUGCCAGCAGUUUUCAUCCUGCUGCGGUCCCUGGUUAUCAGGCUCCUCAGUAGCAGACUGGCAGGCUCCCUGGCACAGUUCCUCAGAAGAAGCCUCACCACGGGCGCUGCCCACCUUGGCACGGCGUUGCGGCACAUCUGGGAGCGCGUCCGAUCCCAGGAGUCAAAGGAAGCCGUCCUGGGCUGUGUGCUGUGCAUUCUUAACAUGCACAAGAAGGUGGAGAACUGAUCUCUGUUCCACCUUCUUGUCAUCCGGACAGAACCUGGACGGCUGUUAGGGGAAAAGAAGGGAUGUGACGGACUUUUCUUGUGAUAUUUUGACUCUGGUGUUUUGUUUUUUUACUUCUGGACAUGUCUGAGAGCAUUGUGAGGAAAGUGCAGCCCUUCACCAUCGGGACAAGGCUGUCGGUCCCUUCUGUGACUAAAUGUCAGGAGUUUCAAAGGAGAUUUCUACCCACCGAGCCUCUGGACAAUCGUGUCUUACAGCACAAUCUGAACUCGCUCUACCUCCAUCGGUCCCGGGUCCGAGCACAUGGCUCCUGUCUCGUUGCACCGUUUGUGAAGCCGGAAGCGCACGUUCAACGCAACCACGAGCACAUGGCAGCUGAGGACCACCAGAACCAGAACGUGGCCUCUCCUUCUGCCGUCUCCAGGUCCAUCAAGAAGAUCACCAUCUCUGGGAGUAAAGACCGAUCAGACAAGAAGAGCACAGUGGGCCCAACAGACCUGUCAACAACAGCUGAAAACAAAAACAACAACAACAACAACACAACAGGCUCACCAGACCCACAUCUGCCCAGGAUUGUUGGAGUGAGGUGUGAGAAUAAACCGACCUCUCAGUUUAAGGUUUUGCUCAGUAAAAGCAGCUGUGCCGCCAUUCCUCAAGGAGAAACUUGGGCAAAGCCAAAUGGGGAGAAAUCCUUCCAGAUUUCAGUGCCUGAGCUGCAGAAUCACAGACCCCGGAGGACAGAAAGUCACCCACACAGCGAGGAUGAGGCUCCGGCAGCUGCUAACGCUCUGAGCGACAGCUUCACUCAGCAAAACUCGCUCUUCAACAAAGAAGCGCUGCAGGCAGAGGCAUGGAUCAAGAGCAAACUCCAGGAUCUAAAGGAUGGCUGUAACACUAAGUGCUGCCCCCUGCAGGACUGGGACGAGGCCUCUCAGACACUUCAAAGGGACCUGAAAGACUUUGAGAACACGUUUAUUCAGCUCAACCAGAUGGGCGAGCAGCUGAUCUGCAGGCUGAACCCCACAUCUGACCUUGUGAAGAAGCAGCUCAGCCAGCUCAAGGACCAAUGGCAGACCCUGAAACAGACGGCCACCAAUCAGACGCGUGCUUUAGGUGGAGCAAAGAGUCUGCGGGAUUUCAACAGAAAAGCGGAUAAGCUGGAGGCCUGGGUCAAAGAAAAGGUGAAAACAAAGCAGACUUCCUGUUUUCCUGUUUUUAUCGUUUCUGAUCCAAUGUGCUCAUUCCUUCCUUAUCUCAGCAUCUUUUCCCUUAUCCCUCCCAUUUAUAGAGGUGAUUUAACAAGUGGCUAA